UGGGGAAUUUUGGACAAUGGGCGAAAGCCUGAUCCAGCAAUGCCGCGUGUGUGAAGAAGGCCUUCGGGUUGUAAAGCACUUUUGUCCGGAAAGAAAUCCUUGGCUCUAAUACAGUCGGGGGAUGACGGUACCGGAAGAAUAAGCACCGGCUAACUACGUGCCAGCAGCCGCGGUAAUACGUAGGGUGCAAGCGUUAAUCGGAAUUACUGGGCGUAAAGCGUGCGCAGGCGGUUUGCUAAGACCGAUGUGAAAUCCCCGGGCUCAACCUGGGAACUGCAUUGGUGACUGGCAGGCUAGAGUAUGGCAGAGGGGGGUAGAAUUCCACGUGUAGCAGUGAAAUGCGUAGAGAUGUGGAGGAAUACCGAUGGCAAAGGCAGCCCCCUGGGCCAAUACUGACGCUCAUGCACGAAAGCGUGGGGAGCAAACAGGAUUAGAUACCCUGGUAGUCCACGCCCUAAACGAUGUCAACUAGUUGUUGGGGAUUCAUUUCCUUAGUAACGUAGCUAACGCGUGAAGUUGACCGCCUGGGGAGUACGGUCG
rnacentral:rRNA from 1 species